GUACCCAUAGCUCAGUUGGAUAGAGCAUCUGCCUUCUAAGCAGAGGGUCGCAGGUUCGAGUCCUGCUGGGUACGCCA
rnacentral:tRNA from 1 species